UUUUUAUUAAUAUUAUUAAUUUUUAUUGUUGAAAGAAUUAAAAUUAAUUUGUUGUUAAUAAAAAUUAAAAUUUAUAAUAUUUUUUUUUUAUUUUUUAGUUUUAUAUAAAAAAAAUAGAGUUGAUAUAAAUAGAAAUUUUGUUAUAAAUUAUAAUAGUUUAUUAAAUAAAUUUUUAUAAUGGGUUAAUUAUUUUUUUUAUUUUUUUAUAAAAAAAUAAAAUUUAAUUAUUAUUAUUUUAUAUAAAAUAAUAAUUUUUAUUAAUAUAAUAAUUGAAUUAAAAUUGAUGUUAAAUAUUUUUUAAAUUUUUUGGAAAUUUAAUUUUUAAUUUUUUAUGUCUGCUCAGUGAUAUUAAAUAGCACUUUUAGCGUGAUUGGUCAAAGGUA
rnacentral:rRNA from 1 species